UACGUAGGGUGCGAGCGUUGUCCGGAAUUAUUGGGCGUAAAGAGCUCGUAGGCGGUCUGUCGCGUCGAAUGUGAAAACCCGGGGCUCAACUCCGGGCUUGCAUUCGAUACGGGCAGGCUAGAGUUCGGUAGGGGAGUCUGGAAUUCCUGGUGUAGCGGUGAAAUGCGUAGAUAUCGAGAGGAACACCUGCGGCGAAGGCGGGUUGCUGGGCCGACACUGACGCUGAUGCGCGAAAGCCAGGGGAGCGAACGGG
rnacentral:rRNA from 1 species